rnacentral:rRNA from 1 species
GACGAACGCUGGCGGCGUGCCUAACACAUGCAAGUCGAACGGAACUGUUUUGAAAGAUUUCUUCGGAAUGAAUUUGAUUUAGUUUAGUGGCGGACGGGUGAGUAACGCGUGAGUAACCUGCCUUCAAGAGGGGGAUAACAUUCUGAAAAGAAUGCUAAUACCGCAUGACAUAUCGGAAUCACAUGAUUUUGAUAUCAAAGAUUUUAUCGCUUGAAGAUGGACUCGCGUCCGAUUAGUUAGUUGGUGAGGUAACGGCUCACCAAGACCGCGAUCGGUAGCCGGACUGAGAGGUUGAACGGCCACAUUGGGACUGAGACACGGCCCAGACUCCUACGGGAGGCAGCAGUGGGGGAUAUUGCGCAAUGGGGGCAACCCUGACGCAGCAACGCCGCGUGAAGGAUGAAGGUUUUCGGAUUGUAAACUUCUUUUAUUAAGGACGAAAAUUGACGGUACUUAAUGAAUAAGCUCCGGC